GUUAGGCAUAGUGGUGCACGCCUGAGCUCCAGCUACUUGGGAGACUGAGGCAGGAGAACUGUGUAAGCACAGGAGUUCGAGGCCAGCCUGGGCAACACAGCAAGACCCUGUCUUGA
rnacentral:sRNA from 1 species